rnacentral:lncRNA from 1 species
UGUCAAUACACUUAAAAAUAGCUUCAAUUAAAUAAUAAUACAGUCUUGCUAAUAGUAAUAAACCUAACCUAAGGGUGACACACUAGUGACAGCUUUUGUAAUGUAGUUUUGCAAUUAACACAAUAAAAUAAGUACUCUUAAGAUAGACAAAAGCAACAAGUGAGUGUAGGAUGUGUAUUUUUGCUUCUUUUUCUAUUAAAACCAAGUCAGUACAUUACCUGUUUGGGUAUCUGGCCGAAGUUGUUGAUAAAGCCAAUGGUGGCGGUUUCUUUCAGAGGGUCAUUAAUGUUGUAGAUGUCCACCUGGCCCUCGUAGAAGAGGUGAUGGAACACAUUGACAGCCUCCACCGCUGGAGGACCUUGCUGUUUAAAGCCGAAGAUGAGGUCGAUCCAUUCGUGCAGAUUUCUCUCCAACCAAAGUGCUGAGAAGCCCAGACCUAGAUAAGCAGACACAAAUUGGAGCAAGUCAGUGAGUCAUGUUAAGCUCUGCCGUUGGAUUAUUUAGCACCACUGCGCUCGAGGGACGUACCCCUGCUCUACGCUGGUGUUGGGCCGCUGUCCUGAGACUGAUUCGGAGCUGUCUGCGAGGGAGGGGACAACUGCCAGAAACCUACAAACAGAGAAGUCAAGAUCUAUCAGUCCAAAGAAGAUUUCACCACAAAAUCUGAGAACGUUUUCAGCAGGACAAGACCAUAAACAUAUUUACCUCUGAUAGACUUUAUUUCUGACACCCUUCUGGAAAGCCAGGAGGUAAUUUCGCCCAUCGCCUGAAAACACCUCCACUGCCAUUGGCUGUAAUAUAGAAGAAAGAGAAUCAUUGAACAUCAUGGGUAACCAUUAACAAAUUCUAGGAGGAAACCAGGUUGUGAUAAAACAGAAGCUCCUCUCCUCACCUGCAGCAGGUAGCGGCGCUUGUGCACCUCUUUAAUAUCCUCGUAUGCGAAGAUACUGCAGGAUCUCUUCAGCUGACUCUGGCUCUGUCGGGCCCCUCUGGGGAUAAUCGGCUCGUGCAGGCUGGAACAAUCAGACGUACUGUUUAACACAAUGCUCCUCAAUGAGGGAACGGUUCUGUCUGAACUACUUGUGCUUGUGAUUCUAAUAGCCCUCUGUUUUGAGCGUCCUCUGAAAAAUCUCUGUUUGAAGGUCCAUGUAGCCUUAACACUUCCCCCUACCCCUUUAGCCUAACAAGAAUCAGGACACCCUUCCACUACACGUUUACAUUCAAAACCAAAAGGUAGGGCUAAGUGAAGGCAAUCUACCCUCCCAGAGAGAGCAAGGUAAACUGAGCUCUCUCUCUCAGACUCUGGCUGCUGAUGGCAAGCAACAUGAUGCAGGGUUCGUCAUCCCUGCUUGUGACUCACUUUGCAGGAAGUGUCUCAAUGUCCCUGAUCUCUCUGGUGACCGUCAUGGUGAAGCCAUCAAUAAC